CCUCGGGAAGGAUCAUUG
rnacentral:rRNA from 1 species